rnacentral:RNase_P_RNA from 1 species
GACAGUCGCGUCACUCGCAAGAGUGCCGAGGAAAGUCCGGGCUCCAUAGGGCAAGGUGCCAGGUAACGCCUGGGCGGCGCAAGCCGACGGACAGUGCAACAGAAAGAUACCGCCUACGUUCCUUUCGGGGAGCCGGUAAGGGUGAAAUGGUGCGGUAAGAGCGCACCGCGAGUCCGGUAACGGACCGGCACGGCAAACCCCACCUGGAGCAAGACCAAAUAGGGAUCCAUUGGCGUGGCCCGCGCUGGAUCCGGGUAGGUUGCUUGAGCGCUGCGGUGACGUAGCGCCUAGACGAAUGACUGUCCA